UAGCUACUUGUAUCAUUGUAGGUAUGAUGCAAGAUCGACUUGGUCGAAUAAAAUUCUAGGUAGAAUUAUGAUAAUGACAUUGUCUGCCUAUGUGUCUUGACCAAAUUACGUGCCAGCUGUCGCGGUAAUACGUAGAAGACUAGUGUUAUUCAUGUUUAGUCGGUUUAAAGGGUACCUAGACGGUAAAUCAAGCCUACAAAUAAAUGAAGGGACUAUUUUGCUAGAGUUACUUACGAGGGGGUUUUAAAGUACUGCUGGUGUAGAGAUGAAAUUCUGUAAUACCUCUUUUCAAUUGAAAAAUAAUGGCACAGGUAUAGGCGAAGGCAUCCCCUUAUGUGAUAACUGACGUUGAGGGACGAAGGCUUUGUGUAGCGAACAGGAUUAGAUACCCCAGUAGUCAAAGCAGAAAAUGAUGAAUGUCAUAGAUUAGACGUUUAAGUUUAUUCUAUAAAUGAAAGUGUAAGCAUUCCACCUCAAGAGUAAUUUGGCAACAUUGGAACUGAAAUCAUUAGACCGUUUCUGAAACCAGUAGUGAAGUAUGUUGUUUAAUUUGAUGCCACGCAAAAAACCUUACCACAAUUUGAAUAUUUAUAUUUUUUUUUAUUAUUGUUUUAUUUUUAAUUUUCUUAAAGGACUAGGAAAAAUUAUAUUAAAUUAGAUUAUUAAAAAUAAAGGCAAUAAGAUAUAUUUACAAGUGUUGCACGGCUGUCUUCAGUUAAUGUCGCGAGACUCUGGUUAGUUCCAUGAAUUNNCGUAAACCCUUACUUUAUUUUUUAUAUAGAGUAGUUCCCCGCUAUAUU
rnacentral:rRNA from 1 species